GGUGUGUCGGGGAACCAGGAUUUUACUUGAAAAAAUUAGAGUGUUCAAAGCAGGCCUAUGCUCGAAUACAUUAGCAUGGAAUAAUAGAAUAGGACGUGUGGUUCUAUUUUGUUGGUUUCUAGGACCGCCGUAAUGAUUAAUAGGGAUAGUCGGGGGCGUCAGUAUUCAAUUGUCAGAGGUGAAAUUCUUGGAUUUAUUGAAGACUAACUACUGCGAAAGCAUUCGCCAAGGAUGUUUUCAUUAAUCAGUGAACGAAAGUUAGGGGAUCGAAGACGAUCAGAUACCGUCGUAGUCUUAACCAUAAACUAUGCCGACUAGGGAUCGGGCGAUGUUAUCUUUUUGACUCGCUCGGCA
rnacentral:rRNA from 1 species